UCGUAGACCCGAAACCAGGUGAUCUACCCAUGUCCAGGAUGAAGGUAAGGUAAUACUUACUGGAGGUCCGAACCCACGCACGUUGAAAAGUGCGGGGAUGAGGUGUGGGUAGCGGAGAAAUUCCAAUCGAACUUGGAGAUAGCUGGUUCUCUCCGAAAUAGCUUUAGGGCUAGCCUCGAGGUAAAGAGUCAUGGAGGUAGAGCACUGUUUGGACUAGGGGCCCUUCUCGGGUUACCGAAUUCAGAUAAACUCCGAAUGCCAUGUACUUAUACUCGGGAGUCAGACUGCGAGUGAUAAGAUCCGUAGUCGAAAGGGAAACAGCCCAGACCACCAGUUAAGGUCCCCAAAUAUAUGUUAAGUGGAAAAGGAUGUGGGGUUGCUUAGACAACCAGGAUGUUGGCUUAGAAGCAGCCACCAUUGAAAGAGUGCGUAAUAGCUCACUGGUCGAGUGACCCCGCGCCGAAAAUGUACCGGGGCUAAACAUAUUACCGAAACUGUGGAUGAACCUCUUUAGAGGUUCGUGGUAGGAGAGCGUUCUAAGGGCGGUGAAGUCAGACCGGAAGGACUGGUGGAGCGCUUAGAAGUGAGAAUGCCGGUAUGAGUAGCGAAAGAAGGGUGAGAAUCCCUUCCACCGAAUAUCUAAGGUUUCCUGAGGAAGGCUCGUCCGCUCAGGGUUAGUCGGGACCUAAGCCGAGGCCGAUAGGCGUAGGCGAUGGACAACAGGUAGAGAUUCCUGUACCAGUGCUAAUUGUUUAACCGAUGGGGUGACACAGAAGGAUAGGGAAUCGCACGAAUGGAAAUGUGCGUCCAAGCAGUGAGUGUGAGAAGUAGGCAAAUCCGCUUCUCGCGAAGCAUGAGCUGUGAUGGGGAAGGAAAUUAAGUACGGAAGUUCCUGAUUUCACGCUGUCAAGAAAAGCCUCUAGGAAGAGUAGUACUGCCCGUACCGCAAACCGACACAGGUAGAUGAGGAGAGAAUCCUAAGGUGAGCGAGAGAACUCUCGUUAAGGAACUCGGCAAAAUGACCCCGUAACUUCGGGAGAAGGGGUGCUCUAUUAGGGUGCAAGCCCGAGAGAGCCGCAGUGAAUAGGCCCAGGCGACUGUUUAGCAAAAACACAGGUCUCUGCAAAACCGUAAGGUGACGUAUAGGGGCUGACGCCUGCCCGGUGCUGGAAGGUUAAGAGGAGUGCUUAGCUUCGGCGAAGGUACGAAUUGAAGCCCCAGUAAACGGCGGCCGUAACUAUAACGGUCCUAAGGUAGCGAAAUUCCUUGUCGGGUAAGUUCCGACCCGCACGAAAGGCGCAACGAUCUGGGCACUGUCUCAACGAGAGACUCGGUGAAAUUAUAGUACCUGUGAAGAUGCAGGUUACCCGCGACAGGACGGAAAGACCCCGUGGAGCUUUACUGCAACCUGAUAUGGAAUGUUUGUACCGCUUGUACAGGAUAGGUAGGAGCCGAAGAGACGUGUGCGCUAGCAUACGAGGAGGCAAUGGUGGGAUACUACCCUGGCUGUAUGACCAUUCUAACCCGCCACGCUUAGCGCGUGGGGAGACAGUGUCAGGUGGGCAGUUUGACUGGGGCGGUCGCCUCCUAAAGAGUAACGGAGGCGCCCAAAGGUUCCCUCAGAAUGGAUGGAAAUCAUUCGCAGAGUGUAAAGGCACAAGGGAGCUUGACUGCGAGACUGACAAGUCGAGCAGGGACGAAAGUCGGGCUUAGUGAUCCGGUGGUUCCGCAUGGAAGGGCCAUCGCUCAACGGAUAAAAGCUACCCCGGGGAUAACAGGCUUAUCUCCCCCAAGAGUCCACAUCGACGGGGAGGUUUGGCACCUCGAUGUCGGCUCGUCGCAUCCUGGGGCUGUAGUCGGUCCCAAGGGUUGGGCUGUUCGCCCAUUAAAGCGGCACGCGAGCUGGGUUCAGAACGUCGUGAGACAGUUCGGUCCCUAUCCGUCGCGGGCGCAGGAAAUUUGAGAGGAGCUGUCCUUAGUACGAGAGGACCGGGAUGGACACACCGCUGGUGUACCAGUUGUUCCGCCAGGAGCAUCGCUGGGUAGCUAUGUGUGGCAGGGAUAAACGCUGAAAGCAUCUAAGCGUGAAGCCCCCCUCAAGAUGAGAUUUCCCAUUUCUUCGGAAAGUAAGAUCCCUGAAAGAUGAUCAGGUAGAUAGGUUUGGAGUGGAAGUGUAGCGAUACAUGGAGCGGACAAAUACUAAUCGAUCGAGGACUUAACCAAAA
rnacentral:rRNA from 1 species